GGAUCGCUUAAACUGGUGAGGCGAGUGACGUUACUUUCGACUUCAUUUGUUCCAGCCAAGCUGCUGGUAAAAGUUGACGAGGGAGUUGUUGGUACCGGCGGCGACACUCCGUGUCACACUUCAGCUCAAUGAGCUCCAACUGCAGGUGGGCUGGAACGUCACUGAGAUCCAUGGAAACAGGGUUAGGUGAGGGGAACCGAACCCUCCCUCUCCCAGUAUAGGGGAAAUAAUUCCCCUUCCGGGAUCAGGGGGGAGAUGCACGGUCAUCCCCCUGCGCCAUCUCCCGUCUCCAUUUCCCCAUUCCUGGCGGCGUGCCUGCUGGAACCGCCGGUCAUAGUGGACCACUUUCCACUCUCCCCCAGUCAUCCUUGUUCCAAUUUUCUUUUUUCUUUUUCCAAAUGAAUUGUAUAGUCUUUGUUAUUUAUGUAAUAUUUUUUUGUUUUAGAUGUGCUAUUUAUUAAUAGGUAUACAUUUGUAAUAUAUUUCUAAUCAUAACAACCAAAACCCACAAAAAAACCAAACGUCAACGUUUCGGCUCUAAGGAGCCUUCCUCAGGUCUUGGCACACUGAAUUAAAUAAAUGCACUUGUACAAAAAAAGUGAUGUUAACUGUCCAAACGUCGAAACCAAACUGAGUUAGUAAAAACGUUCUUCCCUUUUAUACCCACUGUUUUUUUGUCCGAUGUUUAAAAAGAUCUUUUAAAAGAAUAUGUGCUUGUGUGCGUUGUGCCACACGUGAUUGUGUGUGCAUCCAGGGGUCUGUGCGUCCCAGUAGCAAAAGCAGCAUGAAGCUUAAGAUCAUGCCCAAGGUGAAGAGGGAGAAGGAAAAGCUCCACAAGCAGAAGUCAAACCGCUCGCUCGCUCUCAGGUUGGAACAGCCGAUAAAACACACCCAAAGUCAUCUAGCAGACAAAUUGGAAUAUGAACUGUUUUGAGCAGGUUACUUUGCUUCCCUCUAGUGGCCUGGUGAGGUAAAAUUUGCAGCUGCAUGGCCAGCUACUUGAAGCUGCUUUCACACAGCAUUCCUUUUCCCCCCUUUCCAUAUUGUCCACAAAUGUAUUCUCCUUUCCUUUUCGAGAGCCUCACCCACCGAAAUAGCCUUUGUCCUGAGAACAUGCGUGCUUGCACACUGCCGAUGUAGGUUGCGACAUUAACAUAAUUGGAUGUCAGCGUGCCAGCUCCGAUUGUUUUCAACACAAAGUAGCAUGCGUAGUGAUUUAAAAAAAAAAAAAAAAAAAAAAAAAAAAAAAAUUAAUACCUCUCUGACAUUUUCAAUCCAAAAAGUAUUUUAUGGGGUUAACAAUGAUUCCGCAAUGCUGGGUGUUUGCACGAGUGUGUGCGUGUUGCCAGUUUUUCCGUCAUGUAACAAAUAAGCUUUGGAAAUUAAAAUGACUUGGUGUGAUAAAUGUGCGUCUGCUGCUGCUUCCGACGUGUCUGACUUAAAAGUAAGUUUUAUUACCUGCAUGCAAGUUUGUUCGGUUUGUAUGAAAAUGCUUGUCGCAGAUUCUCCCUACAUUGUGACCAACAAAGCUGACACUAUGAAGUUGUCAUUUCUCUUAAUUGUUGAUAAAUGAAAUGUUUCGAGUGAGGAGCUAUAAAGGUGUUCUGUCAUAAACUGACUCUGCCUGUUUUCCCAACACAACUCUGCUUUCAGCUGGACUAUUGCAUGACAGGCGUACGUGUCAAAUGCCUCAGUGUGUUCUGUAUGUUGUUUGUGAAUCCAUCCAGUAAGGAAUAAACCGUAUUGGAAAACUAAGUGAUUGUUGCAGUGCAUUGUGCAAAUAAAGUGAAAAAUACCUCCACUUGUAAAUAGAAAAGUAAUGCACUUGUACCCAAACUGUGGCCUCAUGAGAAUCUAUGCAAACUAAUUAAACAACUAUGUAAAAAUUGUACUACAUUUAUAUUUGUUUUCUAAAUUUCUUUGAAAAUAUCACAUUCCAGUGAAAGACUUCCAUUGUGUGUAGUGACCCUGAACCAUUGAGUUAUUUCAAAAAUAAAAACUGUGAUGCAAAUGAAACAUAUUCGACAACCUUUCCUCCUAGUACUAGCACAGCAGACUUCGGCGUCACGUGAAUGACUUGAAUCAAGCACGAGAAAUGGACAGGUCUCGGACAUAAUUAGGACUUGGUCAUCUGAUUGGUCGCAUUUGGCGCCAAAAGGUAUGUAGACUAAGCUGAUUGGUUAAUGCAACAUCUAUUUCCGGUUUGGAUCGCUUAAACGGGUGAGGAGAGUGCCGUUACUUUCGACUUCAUUUGUUCCAGCCAAGGUAAGCACGCUGCUUCACGCACUAGCAAUUAAUGUUGUUUUUGCUGUGUAUUGACUUAUUUGAGCGUGUUUUUGACAUGUUUGACUCGGCACGGACUUGGAGUGUGAUGGCGUGCGUUAAUUUGUGCUUACACAGCUGAGUGAACAUGCGGGCUCGCCGUUUUGUAGCGCAAGGUUUGAACUUUACUCGACGCCCAGAUGCAUAAUUGGCUUCGUGGCGUCGCUGGCUUGGGGUUUGACAGUUUGCGUGAGUGGUGUUAAGGCAUUUUGAGUGUUUUAGCAGUGUUGUAAUGUACAAUUGCCGUCAUCCUCCUGGCGGGACUGUCGCUUAAACAUGACGUCACCGCGGCAGCGCUGCAGCUCCGCAUUUGUCAUUGUUUGCACUUUGUUCGACGCCCGAAUGCAUAAUUGGCUUCGUGGCGUCGCUGGCUUGGGGUUUUACACUUUGCGUGUGUGGCGCGAAGCAGUUUGAGUGUUUGCGUGGUGUUUUAGCGGUGUUGUAAUGCACAAUUGCCGUCGUCCUCGUGGCGGGAGUGUCGCUUGUAUAUGAUGUCAACGCGGUUGCCAUUUUGAGCAAUGUUUGAACUGUUGUAUGUUUACUGUCUUACAUUCUUAAUUUUUAAUUUCCAAUUAACUGUAUAGUCUGCUUUAUGUAAUUUUAUUUGUGCUGCGACAUUUUCCCUCUCAGGUCUUGGCACACCAAAUUCAAUGCACAAAUCGGCGAUGUUUAAUGUACUAACUCCCAAACCAAACUGAGUCAGUGAAAAGGUUAUUCCUUUAUACCUGCUGUUUACUUGGCCUGUUUUAAAAUUAUAAAGAAUGUCCAUUCGUGGCGGGACUGUCGCAUGUAUGUCAACGCUGCUGCUUCGCGAUUGCCAUUUUGAGGAAAGUUCGAACUGUCAUGUUUACUGUGUGUCAAAUUUUUUUUUUUUUUAAAUCCCAAUGAAUUGUAUAGUCUUAUGCAAUUUAUUUUAGAUGUGCUAUAUUAAUUGGUAUGAAUUUAUAAUUUAUAAUAAAAAUCAACCAAACGCUGUGCAUCGACAACAUUUUCCCUCUCAGGUCUUGGCACAGCAAAUUCAAUGCACAAAUAGGUGAUGUUUACUGUACAAACUGAAGGAACCUGUUUAAAAUCACCUAUUACUUCCGAGGUUGUAAGAGUGUUCGUUUUCGUGGAAGAACUACAAUUAUAACGUUACAAGUCAACAAAUUUAUUCCUGACAGAGGAG